rnacentral:rRNA from 1 species
AUAAGGUUAAGUUAAUAAGGGCGCACGGUGGAUGCCUUGGCACUAGAAGCCGAUGAAGGACGUGACUAACGACGAAAUGCUUUGGGGAGUUGUAAGUAAACAUUGAUCCAGAGAUAUCCGAAUGGGGGAACCCGGCAUGUGAUGCAUGUCACUCAUUACUGUUAAGGUAAUGAAGAGGAAGACGCAGUGAACUGAAACAUCUAAGUAGCUGCAGGAAGAGAAAGCAAACGCGAUUGCCUUAGUAGCGGCGAGCGAACUGGCAAGAGGGCAAACCGAUGUGUUUACACAUCGGGGUUGUAGGACUGCGUUGUGGGACGCAAGAUUAUAGAAGAAUUACCUGGGAAGGUAAGCCAAAGAGAGUAACAGCCUCGUAAUCGAAAUAGUCUUAAACCCUAGCAGUAUCCUGAGUACGGCGAGACACGAGAAAUCUCGUCGGAAUCUGGGAGGACCAUCUCCCAACCCUAAAUACUCUCUAGUGACCGAUAGUGAACCAGUACCGUGAGGGAAAGGUGAAAAGCACCCCGGGAGGGGAGUGAAAUAGAACCUGAAACCGUGUGCCUACAACAAGUUCGAGCCCGUUAAUGGGUGAGAGCGUGCCUUUUGUAGAAUGAACCGGCGAGUUACGAUAUGAUGCGAGGUUAAGUUGAAGAGACGGAGCCGUAGGGAAACCGAGUCUUAAUAGGGCGGCUUAGUAUCAUGUCGUAGACCCGAAACCAUGUGACCUACCCAUGAGCAGGGUGAAGGUGAGGUAAA